AUUGAACGCUGGCGGCAGGCCUAACACAUGCAAGUCGAGCGAGCGGCGGACGGGUGAGUAAUGUAUGGGGAACUGCCUGAUAGAGGGGGAUAACUACUGGAACCGGUGGCUAAUACCGCAUACCAUCGGAUGUACCCAGAUGGGAUUAGCUAGUAGGUGGGGUAAAGGCUCACCUAGGCGACGAUCCCUAGCUGGUCUGAGAGGAUGACCAGCCACACUGGAACUGAGACACGGUCCAGACUCCUACGGGAGGCAGCAGUGGGGAAUAUUGCGCAAUGGGGGCAAGCCUGACGCAGCCAUGCCGCGUGAGUGAAGAAGGCCUUCGGGUUGUAAAGUUCUUUCGGUGGCGAGGCGUUAACUACAGAAGAAGCACCGGCUAACUCCGUGCCAGCAGCCGCGGUAAUUC
rnacentral:rRNA from 1 species